UACGUAGGGUCCGAGCGUUGUCCGGAGUUACUGGGCGUAAAGCGCGCGCAGGCGGCUCGUCAAGUCUGGCGUGAAAGCCCCCGGCUCAACCGGGGAGGGUCGUCGGAGACUGGCGAGCUUGAGGGCGGUAGGGCUGGUGGAAUUCCCGGUGUAGUGGUGAAAUGCGUAGAGAUCGGGAGGAACACCCGUGGCGAAGGCGGCCAGCUGGGCCGUCCCUGACGCUGAGGCGCGAAGGCGUGGGGAGCGAACGGGAUUGAGA
rnacentral:rRNA from 1 species